GAACUGUGAGAGGGAGAGACGUAGGCUUUUUUUAUUUUUAUUUUUUUUCUUUUAAUAAUUUUCAUUAAUUGAAAAAAUCUGGCCAUCGGCCUUACAAUGUAUUUAUAAAAUAAACUCUAAGAAAAAAAAAAGAUCCAAACAGAAUCUACUAAAUAAAAGAGUUCUAAUACUUUAGGAAACAAACAAAAGAAAUCAAAACAGAAUCUGCAAAAUAGGUAAGGAGUCCUAACCUCUUAGGUAAAUAAAAAUACUACUUAAUUUAAACAGAUUUACUUCCUAACAGAAAAAAAAAAGAACAUAAAAUAGGUAAGGAGUCCUCCUCCUUGCAUUGACUGCUAGUGGGGCCCAUAUACAGCUGCUUGAGUUUCUGCGUAGCUCUCCAAAGGUGGGCCCCAAUUUGAUCCUUAUCCAUCCAGCCAAAUAGAGCCCAGGCUGGAUGGUUCUUUGUGCCGCCUCCUCUGGUAAACUCUAAAUCUUGGACUGAUGUCCCCAUCAGAAUGCCAUGGAGGACCUUAGAGAUGAAGUCCCAUUUAAUGGAAUCAAAAUCUUUGUGAGAGGGCAGCUGAGGAAUGGGAUUUCUAGUCAAAAUCUCGCAAAAUUUCAUGACACAAGAAUAUGUUAUGAAUGAUGCUUCUACUGCGAUGAAAGCAAAUCAAGUAGCAUUGACAAGGGAGUUGAUCACCAAUUGAAUCCUAUUGGCAAAGAUUUUGGCAAUGAAUUUGUAGAGAAGGUUGUAAAGGAAAAUGGGUUUGAAAUUAGACAUGGAUGGAUGCUACCUCUUUCUUGGUGAUGAGGUAGAUGCACGGAUGAUUAAUACCUUGAAGUUGGGAUGGGUUGAAGAAAAAGAUUCUAAUAGCUUGAAUGAGGUCACUCUUUAUGAUGCCCCAAUAGGAAGAGAUGAAGCCCAUACUGAAGUCAUUAGGGCUUGGGGCUUUGUUGGCUUUGUGAGAAAGGGCAACCACUAAGAUUUCAUCAUCAGAGGGGAUGAUAUAGAGGGAGGAGAGAUGGUUGGGAAUGAAUUUGUUAAGAAGGUCGGAGGGGGGGGGGGAUGGGGGUUGAAAAGCUUAGAGAAGUAGUUGGAGGGCUCAACUUUAAUGUUCUUAAGGCUAGUGAAGGAGGAAUGGUCUCUAGUAGUGAGCAUGCAAAUGGAGUUAAUGUUAGUCCUAGCUUUUAGGGAUCUAUGGAAAUAUAUAAAGUUGGAGCUCCCUAGCUCUAACCAUUUGUGCAGGAUUUUUGCUUAAGGAAGCUUUCUUCCUAGGCAAUAAGUGAGUCUAACUCAAGGGAGAUAGACCUCUCUUCAUCUGCAAGGGGAAGAUUAAGAGGGUUAGAUUGAAGCUUGGAUUGGAUGGUAGACACUUUUUGACAAAGGCAAGGAGGGGGGGGGGGAGAGGAAGAGGUCGGGACAGGAUUUAGCACUGAAUAAGGAGGGAGAUAUGGCUAUGAUCAGAAAUACCAGGAAGGUCAGAAGUGUGAUUGGAGGAGGGAAAAAUAAAGUAUUCCGAGUUUCUGAUGCUCAAUUGACCAAAUUGGAUAAUCUAUCUUCAUUGAUUCCCCCUUGUUUGCAAUAACUCACUCAAGUUUUGUAGAACGGGGGGAUCUUCACCACUUGAUUGGCAUUGUCGAACACUUUCUUUGAUUUGAUGGCGAUUCAACGUUUCUCAUAAAAAUCAGCAUCCACUUCCGAACGUCUAGGAUAUAUGAAGGAAAAAGAAGAUCAACCAUCCUGAUCUCCUUACGAACAAGGCCAAGUGUCAAUUGGUGUCUCUCCAAUUGGAAUAUGUUCUCAGGGCUCACAUCUUCAUUUAGUCCGUCAAUCAAUUCCUCUUAUGGCUAUAUUGUUGGUGUCGCUUCAACCGGCUCUAAAGAGCUAUCGCAGUGCAAGACUUUUAAGACAAUAGUGUGUAGUUGAUGGAGCACAUGUGUUCCCUUCAUGAUCAAGGACAACCUUCUAUUCUUCCCUCCAUGAUUGACCAACUACGAUGAUAUGUUUGAAAGAAGAAAAAAAAAAUGAUAUUUAGCACCAUUAGUAUAACGCGCCGAUCCCACACCAAGGCCCAAUAUUGUCCGCUUUAGGGCGAACCCCUCAUGGAUUUAAAAUGUGCCAUGACCAUGGAAUGAGUGAUAGAGGUUAUCAACUAGCCCAGUUUCUUUCCCUAGUUAAUGUGGGUCUAAAGAACUACCCCACUUCAAAGCCUCUCCUGUUUCUUACCCGACCUUUGGGGCUCAAUUGAUCUAGGCCAUUUCUUAGGCAUGACAUUCUUCUUCUUUGUGGCAUAGUUGCCCCUUGUGGCCCCAUAGAAUGUCCUCUCUCAUACCAUUUGUAAUGCUCUGACCCCACACCAAGCCACGAUAUUGUUUGCUUUGGCGCAAACCCCUCUCGGCUUUAAAACGCGUAGUGACCAUGGCAGGGAUGCAAAAGAUUAUCAACUUACCCAGUCUCUUGCCCCUAGUCGAUAUGGGACUAAAGAGCCUUUCCCCGUUAAGGCCUCUCCUGUCUCUUGCCCAGCCUUUGGGACUCAACGGAUCUGAGCUAUUUCUUGGGCGUGACAAUCAAAGUAGGUUGAAACUGAAGAUUUUAUGAAAACAUUAUCCUCAUAUUCAAUUGUAAUUUCGUUUGUCUUAGACAAAAUCUCUUACACAAAUUGUGAAACGAAAUUAUCACUUUGCCCUUCACCAAUGAAUAAAACAACAAUUCUUCUAUUGGACAAGCAAAUUCUAGUCUUUAAAAUAAAACUAUCCAUGGUCACGUUAGGGUCUAAAACGAGCAUGCUGAGAUAAUUGAGUGUAAAAUAGAUAAUUUAGGAAUGAACAAGUCAAAGCUAAUUUAGGAAGAGUUCCGAUACAUGAUGAGUUGUAAGAAAGUUGUUAAGAGGCGGCAUGGACAUUUGCAAUGGAGGCUUUUGAAUGCUCCAAUACAGAGGGGUGAUUUGAUUCAGAUUGAAGGAGCUAAAAGAGCCUGGGGGUAGAUCUAAAAUGGCACUAGGAGAAGUGGUCAAGAAAGACAUGCAUAGCUUAGGACUAAUACCAAGUAUGGAGUUGAAUAGAGGUGAAUGGAGAAAAAGGAUCCAUGUAGCCGACCCCGUUUAGUUAGGAUUAGGCUGAGCUGAAUGUAUGGCCAGGUUAGGCUCUGAUACCAAAUAAUGCAAACUGAUCAUUGGAUCUACUGGUGCCUGGUGGUGGGUUUUCUUUUAAACAAUGGAUCAGCUCAUUUCUUUUCUUUCUUUAAAUACGAUUACCCUACUUAAACUAAACGAAAGAAGCAAGAGCAGUGACAAAACCAGUACAAUGUAUCACUAUUGUUUUUCUUAAAUCAGAGUGGGGAUGAAAUCAUGUUAGAAUUUUCAAUUUUGCUAAUCAAUGCAUUAGCAUCACAAUUCUUGCCCUUGUAAAUGUACUCUUAGCUUUUAUUAUUUUCAUUUCCUCACACUCAGGUUGGAUGUGUUUCUGCUUUAUGCAUUCAAGAAGUAAAUUGCUCUAAUCAUGUUUUGUUGGCUGACAGAACUCCUCAGCUUGAAUGAACAGUGCAAUCGAUUUUUCAUUAAAUGCAAGAAAUAAUUUUACAUCGUGACUAUGCUCUAAUCACGUCUGCAAUUUUUCCAAGGACGGACUGAGUCUUGAUUCUGAAAUUAUGAUUUUGUAUCAAAGACUUGCCAAUAAAGAUUUGGGGGAGUGCAGCCUCUGCCAGCGUCCCUCUCAGUCUCUCUCUCUCUCUCUCUGCCCAUAUGGGUCAUUUCACAUGGGGAGGAGAGAGAGACUGUUGGGGUGGUGCUGGUGGAGGAUGCACUCCCCAGUCCCCCCACAGACAACAUUAUCCCAAAAGAUUUAUUGUGAACUAGAGCUCUUGCUUCCUAAAUUUAUGUAUUUAGCCUUUGAUGUUAGGAAAUUACAGAAAGCUAGGGUCAGGCUAUUGUCUAGACAGAUGGUUUACUAUUUCUUUCUUAACAAGUUAAGAUACUUGUUGAUCAAAUUGAUUGUAAGGGAAACCCAUCUAAGAAAUGCUGGUUGACUGGGUCUAACCUUGAUCUUCAAAGAAGUCCAAUGGCACAGACGUUGUCGAGUUUAAAUUGCUGGUUUAUACAGAAUGGCUGUAUAUAGAGUUGUUCCAACAGGCGAGAGUAGUAUUUUAUCAUGUGCCCAGUAGUUGUGAUAUGGUUCAAGGGUAGCUUUCACUAGAACUGUCUGUUGGAUGGUUUCCAGGAUAAGAGUUUAGUUAUAUAAGAAUCUUCAAAGUUUUUGGCACUUUGGUGUAUAUAGUUAAUAGUAGUUAAGUCGUAUGCAAUUGAUUCUUCACACAAUUUAAUUUUACUGUAUCUCCAUUCUUUGUCGUUCAUAUUUUGUGCUUCAAAUGGUUAUGGCUUUUGCACUGGACAUUUUCAUGUGGUUCCAAAGUUGAUGAUUUACUCCAAUAUAAUUUGAUUCAAGUUAUCAGCCAAUCUACUUGGGUUUCCUAAUUCGUGCCUUAACCCAAAACUGCCUGAUCCAUUGCCUCAUUUUGGAUGUUCAAUCACUCUUGUGUUGGGUUGCCUCUACCUCUGUCAGUAUUGAAAUGCUAACCAUUGUGAUUUAUUGUUUGUUUUCAGUUUUUCCAUGAAAGCUAACCAUUGUAGUUGCUUAUAAGCCAUUCCUGCAAAUAUCAUGAAGCAUGUCUAACGUCUCGUUAGUCAGCCUAACAAACCUGCAAAGUUUGUCUCAUGGAGCAUGUAAACAUGUAGCUAUGGUAUGGAAAGGUGCUGCAUUUAAAUGGGUCCCACUGAAUCCCACUGAGUAGCAGCAAAUCAUGGGACAUGUGGGACACCAUCCUUUUGCCAGGUGGAAUAAGCUCAACCGAAGAUGGAUUGAGGCUUUGGGGAGUGCCUUCUUAUUGGGUGCAUUGAUUGUGGAGGCCAUGAAUUAUUUCAAAGAAAACUUACCCCAGAUGUUGGGCAGACAGCAAACUGAUAACAGGUGGCUCAUUUCUUUUGUGUUUCCACUCUAGAUGAUCGCAUCCCAGUAAUCUAUACUGGGCCUACUUUCCACGUGGCAGAAGGCCGUUGCCUCAGGUUUGUUAACAGAUGGCACAAAUGUUAUUGGUCAGGUGGCACUCUGAGAUGGGUCCUUUUUCUACCGGAUGUCUCUUGAGGGAGGGAGAGGACAUAAAUUUGCCUGAACUAAAUAUCUUCUCUUCUCCAAACGCUUCUGCUAUCCAAUCAGUCAUUCACAGUUGUCCCAAUCGUAAAUCCCAUGACUUGAAACAAAGUCUCAUUAAUUGUUUGCUUUAUGUAUAUUCUACCAAUUAUAGAGGCUCCAUAUGACCCACUGACUUCCAAUAAUUAAAUUCAUUUUAGACUUGCUUUUUCGGUUCCAACUUCCAAUCCAAUCUAGAAUGAAUGGGACUAACUGCUCUCUUUUCUCUCCAUUAUAUCACACAUCUAUUAUAUUGGCUUGGUCUGUUUCCAACUCAAUCUAAAUGUGAUAGCUGCGGUUAAACACUCUUCGCUGGACGUCCAGUUUUAAGAUGAAAUGACAAUAGUAAUUUGCCAUUUAAUUUCCUUGUAAUCUCUAGGUACCUAUUUCCUCAUUCCUCAGAUUUGAAUUGUGGGGGCUUCAUUCACUUGGCUAGUGGUGGUGGUAUUCAAAGUCGUCAAUGACCACUUGAUUUAUGCCCUUUUCAUGGUCUGUCACUCUGUCCUGUUGUGGAAGGAUUAGGCCCUACUCACUUGGUGCAGUCUACGGCCAUGGGGGCUUUCUUGAUGCCAUUUAAUGACAAUUUUGACAGACACCUAAUCAUGAUCUGCCCCUGUUUAAGGUGGGCUAGGCUUCUCUUAUUCGAGUCUCCAGCCACUAGGGAAGAUGCUGCAAAGGCAUGAUUGGAAAGAUCCUAUUGAAUUGUUGGUUGUAAGAGAAGGGGCCUCCCUAAUGGUCUUUUAUUGAGGUGAUGCCUGGCCUACUGAAACCCAACUCCUUUCUUAAUUCUUUUUUCAUAUUUAUCUCUGUUUGAGAACAUGGUUCUCAAUCAGGAUUACUUUUAAAAAACAGAAGUUGCAUGUGAAGGAAAAGAUCUGCUUUCACUUUUUUUUUUUUUUUCAUCACCUCAAUUUUGUCAAUAUAUGUUGACAAAUCAAAAUGGAAUUUUGAUGUGAGGGUGAGAGUAAUCUCCUACCACUAAGAGCUGACUUUAAGGUUUUCCCUCUCCUUUCUCUUCUUCCUUUUCUUCUGGGAUUAAACCUAUGACUUCAAGCCCUGUUAAUUGUGAUAUAAAGCACUCUUUUAAUUGAGAUCUGGCUCAAAAUCCCACUAGAGAGAGCUGACUUUUGUCUCUGUGGGUGAAAAGACCGACACUUUGAUGAGGAUGUUUACUACUUUUCGGUCCCCAUAGCCCUUUGUCGGCAUUUAUCCUGGGGGAGAAUGGCCAAUUGUAUUGGUUCCUAGUGAUGUAGUGAUCUUGUAGAUUAUAGAGUAUAGGAAUGGAUCAACUAAGCGAACUUCCCCUUUUUUGUGUAUGAAACAGUGAAUACGGCUCCUGUGAGUGUGGCAAACGUGCACAUUUCUAGCUAGUUGACUUAGUUUUAGUACAUAUGAAUAGUGUGCUGUAAUUUAACUUGGUAUCUUUCUUUUGUCUUACUUAAGGAUCUGCAAAGCGACUUGAAUUACAGAGGGAAGAAAGGCUGGAUUUGGUUAGUGUUUCCAUCAAACAAUUCUGAUGGCAACCCAACCAAGAAGACACUGUAUGCUAGAGCCACUCUUGAGGAUCACAUGGGGGUGCCAACUUGGCUUUUUGGUGUUUGGUAUCAACUUCGAACUAAAACUUGCCUAACCUUGAAUGGUGUGUGUGUGUGUGUGUGUGUGAGAGAGAGAGAGAGAGAGAGAGAGAUUACCUAACCUUUCAAAGAGAGUGGAGAUUACCUAACCUUUUUGAGGGAGAAACCUUGAUAGCGUAAAAGAGUUGGUUAAUCCAUUUCAUUUAGUAUUUGGCACGCAUCAAGCAGUUUGAAGGCAACAUGUGCUACUCCAUUACCAAAUGUUCCAACUAAGUUCUUUGAAAUAGGCCUCUGUAGUCGCCAUUCAAUGCAUUUGCUUACACUUUUGGGAGACACGUCGAGGACCAUUGGAUAUGAAUGAAUGGAUCCAAUUUUAUGAGGUAUGGGGGAAGUGCAAUAUACUGCCUUCCGGGGGUUGAUAUUACUGCAUAUGUGGCUAAUCCAGAGGUCACCAUAAGAUGACCAAACUGAAAGCGAAGUCAAACAAGGAAUGCAAGGCUACAUUUGGAAGCCAAGAACUUUGGUUGCAUGAUAUCCUGAAUUUUUGGUAACAACUCUCUGUGCCAGAGAUCUAGCCGUUGUACAGUUCCUUUUCUAUCUUUUUCUUGUAUAGAUCAAGUCAAGGCUUCCUGCAGGCUCCUAACAAAACCUGUUUUUGCAUGAGGGGUAUCAUUGAAUACCACCAUUCGUUCCUCCUCCCUGUAAUCUCAUAAAAAAAAUCUCUGUGGGAAUCAAAGGAACGGUUUUCAUCA